AAACUGAAGAGUUUGAUCCUGGCUCAGAUUGAACGCUGGCGGCAUGCCUUACACAUGCAAGUCGAACGGCAGCACGGAGCUUGCUCUGGUGGCGAGUGGCGAACGGGUGAGUAAUAUAUCGGAACGUACCCUAGAGUGGGGGAUAACGUAGCGAAAGUUACGCUAAUACCGCAUACGAUCUAAGGAUGAAAGUGGGGGAUCGCAAGACCUCAUGCUCGUGGAGCGGCCGAUAUCUGAUUAGCUAGUUGGUAGGGUAAAAGCCUACCAAGGCAUCGAUCAGUAGCUGGUCUGAGAGGAUGAUCAGUCACACUGGAACUGAGACACGGUCCAGACUCCUACGGGAGGCAGCAGUAGGGAAUUUUUGACAAUGAGCGAAAGCCG
rnacentral:rRNA from 1 species